AUUGAACGCUGGCGGCAUGCCUUACACAUGCAAGUCGAACGGCAGCAUGAUCUAGCUUGCUAGAUUGAUGGCGAGUGGCGAACGGGUGAGUAAUACAUCGGAACGUGCCCUGUAGUGGGGGAUAACUAGUCGAAAGAUUAGCUAAUACCGCAUACGACCUGAGGGUGAAAGUGGGGGACCGCAAGGCCUCAUGCUAUAGGAGCGGCCGAUGUCUGAUUAGCUAGUUGGUGAGGUAAAGGCUCACCAAGGCGACGAUCAGUAGCUGGUCUGAGAGGACGAUCAGCCACACUGGGACUGAGACACGGCCCAGACUCCUACGGGAGGCAGCAGUGGGGAAUUUUGGACAAUGGGCGAAAGCCUGAUCCAGCAAUGCCGCGUGUGUGAAGAAGGCCUUCGGGUUGUAAAUCACUUUUGUCCGGAAAGAAAUGGCUCUGGUUAAUACCUGGGGUCGAUGACGGUACCGGAAGAAUAAGGACCGGCUAACUACGUG
rnacentral:rRNA from 1 species